rnacentral:lncRNA from 1 species
ACACGCACACGCCUACGCCUAUGUACGCAACAUGCAUGCUUAUUCACGAACGACUGAUUUUAUCAUCACUAGAUCCACAGCGGCUGUUCCACGGCGGGGCAGUAUCGAACGUUGUGAAUGGUCGCCAAGUUGCACUGCCCCGGGGCGACGAGUAAUCUGACGAAGUCCCGUUGCAUCUCCCUGGGGCAUCCGGGCAGGUCCAUGAGGCCGCUCUGACCAACAUUGCCGGUGCUCGGGUCCACGGGCUGAGACGGUACCGGCAACGCCAUGAAGUAGCGCAGCGCCUCGCACCGGCACUGCUGGGGA